rnacentral:rRNA from 1 species
GAUGAACGCUGGCGGCGUGCCUAAUACAUGCAAGUCGAGCGAACGGACGAGGAGCUUGCUUCUCUGACGUUAGCGGCGGACGGGUGAGUAACACGUGGAUAACCUACCUAUAAGACUGGGAUAACUUCGGGAAACCGGAGCUAAUACCGGAUAACAUGUUGAACCGCAUGGUUCAACAGUGAAAGACGGUUUUGCUGUCACUUAUAGAUGGAUCCGCGUCGCAUUAGCUAGUUGGUAAGGUAACGGCUUACCAAGGCAACGAUGCGUAGCCGACCUGAGAGGGGGAACGGCCACACUGGAACUGGGACACGGUCCAGACUCCUACGGGAGGCAGCAGUGGGGAAUCUUCCGCAAUGGGCGGAAGCCUGACCGAGCCACGCCGCGUGGGGGAAGAAGGUCUUCGGGUUGUAAAACUCUUUUAUUAGGGAAGAACAAAUGUGGAAGUAACCAUGCACGUCUUGACGGUACCUAAACAAAAAGCCCCGGCUAACUACGUG